AGCAUAGCUUGCGCUCAGGCUUUCGGUACGAAUGAAGGUACCCAUUCGUUAGACCUGUCCCGCGGACAGGGAAUCGUUACGGAUUUAGCGCACUGAGCGAUCCUCACGGCGCAAGCG
rnacentral:sRNA from 12 species